UCCAAACUACAAAAUGUUUCA
rnacentral:piRNA from 1 species